GGUAGAGAAUACCAAGGCGAACGGGAGAACCCUUGUUAAGGAACUAGGCAAAUUAAGUCCGUAACUUAGGGAAAAGGACUGCCACUGGUUGUGAGGGCGACUAGCUUGUCUGAGCGAUUGGUGGUCGCAGCGAAAUGGCUCUGCCGACUGUUUAACAAAAACACAGGUCUCUGCGAAAGCGAAAGCUGACGUAUAGGGGCUGACGCCUGCCCAGUGCCGGAAGGUUAAGGGGAGAUGUGAUGAGCAUUGAACCGAAGCCCCGGUGAACGGCGGCCGUAACUAUAACGGUCCUAAGGUAGCGAAAUUCCUUGUCGGGUAAGUUCCGACCCGCACGAAAGGCGUAACGAGCAGAGCACUGUCUCAACAAGGGACCCGGCGAAGUUGAAAUAGCGGUGAAGAUGCCGUUUACCCGCAGCAGGACAAAAAGACCCCGUGGAGCUUUACUGUAGCUUGACAUUGAGUUAGGGCUUUGUCUGUGUAGGAUAGGUGGGAGGCUGUGAAGCUGGUCCGCUAGGAUCGGUGGAGUCGACGUUGAAAUACCACCCUGAUGGAGUCUUGGCUCUAACCUGUGGCCCUAAUCGGGCAUGGGGACAGUGUCUGGUAGGCAGUUUGACUGGGGCGGUCGCCUCCUAAAGAGUAACGGAGGCGCCCAAACGUUCCCUCAGGCUGAAUGGAAACCAGCCGCAGAGUGUAAAGGCAUAAGGGAGCUUGACUGCGAGACAAACAAGUCGAGCAGAGACGAAAGUCGGGCUUAGUGAUCCUACGGUUCCGAGUGGAAGGGCCGUGGCUUAACGGACAAAAGCUACCCCGGGGAUAACAGGCUGAUCUCCUCCAAGAGUUCACAUCGACGAGGAGGUUUGGCACCUCGAUGUCGGCUCGUCGCAUCCUGGGGCUGAAGUAGGUCCCAAGGGUCCGGCUGUUCGCCGGUUAAAGCGGUACGCGAGCUGGGUUCAGACCGUCGUGAGACAGGUCGGUCUCUAUCCGCUGUGGGCGAAGGGGAUUUGAGAGGGGCUGCCCCUAGUACGAGAGGACCGGGGUGGACAGACCGCUGGUGUACCAGUUGUCUCGCCAGAGGCAUGGCUGGGUAGCUAAGUCUGGCAGCGAUAACCGCUGAAAGCAUCUAAGUGGGAAACGCGCCUCAAGAUGAGAUCCCCCACUGUAAAAGGGUAAGUGCACCGGGAGACUACCGGUUAGAUAGGCGGCAG
rnacentral:rRNA from 1 species